AGUCAUAGGAAACAUGCAGCACUGAAAAUUUAAUACAAACACACCUCCCAAAACCCCCACAAAAACCAGCCACAGUUUCCUAUCACAGGGGAUAUGACUCACGUCUCAGCAGGGGUACACAUACCUUAUUAUAGUCGCAAAAGAAAAAAAGAACAUGUCUCAAACAAAUGUCUCCCCCAAUAUCAUCUGCACAGGGCAGCUGUUUGUGAAAAUCUUUUUGAAACUUGCAAAGUAAUUUCUGUCUUUGUGGUUGGUCCAUAGUGCUGUGGCUUGUUUUCACCACAGUGACUCUUAAUUUAAGGAACAAAAUGAUGGCAAUGACUCCUUUAACCAUAAUCAGCUGAAUUCAGACUCAGUUUGGAGAUGAAUGGAAAGAGAAGGCCCUUGGCUGACCUGGCCUCUGGACCUCCCAGAAACUGCUCCCACACUCCAGGGGCUGUCCCAGAAGCCCCACAGGAUCCUAAGCUGGUAUCUUUGUUUCAAGUGGUGCAAAUUUCCCAUUCUCUGCAUGUACCGAGAAGAUUCGUGGAAUAGUCCCUGUGGAUACUUCUAGCUGUGGCUAAGAUUCUUAAUCCAGUGCCUUGGACCACUCUGCCACGCUACUCAGCUACAGCUAAGAUUUUUUACACCACAAAGACAACAAAAAUCAGAGUCAGCAAAUGGAAAUGGUGCUUGGGGCAAAAUCUGCAGGGGAGGAGGCCAAAUUUCCAGGAGUCAUUUCCCAGUGGGGGCCCUCAAGAUGGGCCCAUUUCUCUGGCAAUGAGUGAGGACAGCAGGUAGGAAAGGGGGAAUUAUCAGGGGUACUCCCCCAGAGAUGUUUGCCCAGGGGUUUCACUGUGGGCCUAGGACACAAUAAGAUUCCAGACUUAAGAGCCCUUUCUGUCCUUCUUUGGGUACUAUGAAAGCAGGUGUUCAGUCCGAACCAAUCCUUGUGUCAUUAGACAGACCACAUUGUUUGUCCCACUUUAGAAAUGUGGGGGACACUCCAGUGGCAGAAGCUUCUUUGUGUUAACUUGGAGGGGUGUUGGAAAGAGAUGAACAUUUGAAUCAGUGGGUAUCUGUGGCUAUAAAUAACAUAGAGGAGCCCAUCUAGUGAACAAGAGGCCUGGAAGAAUAAUACCCAGCCUGCCUCCCUGAGCAAGAGUGAAAUCCUGAACAGACGCUUCUGGACUUCAAAUCAGCUCACCGGUGUUUCUUCCCACCAGCCCGUGGACUGGAACUGCACAUCAGCUCUUUUGAGUCUAAAGCCUGCCUAGCUACUCUGCAGAUUUUGGACUCACUAUCAGUGGCUUGUUAGUCAGUUUCGUACAAGACACUUUCUUCUCAUCCUACUGGUUCUGUUUCUCCAGAAACCUUGACCCCUCCCCAAACUAAAUUUUUCCAGAUACCAGCCAAGCCUCAACCUUGCAAGUAGAUUUUGCAAGAAUUGCAGAGCCCUUGAGAGAAGUCUCCCUCCACUGUGCCUUCCUGUUAACUCAUUUCUGCACAUUACUAACUUGCGUGCCAGAAGUCACAUGGAUGUUAAACCAUGGAGCAGUGGAGCUCACAAGCAAUCAUGGAGUUGAAGAAAAAGUACAUGGACAGAAGUUGACUGUUAGUGUAGGAAUGGUUGAGACAGCGGGCACAGAACCCGGAUCAGUGGCUUUCCUGGGGUAGGGGAACAUUCAAUGAGGACUCCAGAGUAAUGAGACUAAUUGUGGAGGACUGAAGAAGGCUAGAAACUCUUUGCCAUUCCUUACACGAAUAAGUAGAGUUGAUUUCCUGUAUUCCUAGAUCUGGAAUGGUAUGUAUUUACUGUCUCUAAUAGAAUGCAGUCAGUGUGGCAUUGUGGGAGUCCUGGAAAGGAGCUUUAAGCAGCCUGGCCCUUUUGUGUUUCUGUUCUUGGGACCCCUGAAUAGACAGGUGAUGAUGCCUGAGUACCUGCUGAAGAAACCAAGAGAAGGGGUGAGGGAGAACAGCCAGACACAAUAGGACCAGCUGUUCCAACUGAGGUGACACCCAGCUAAUUAAUGUCACUGUGCCUUAGCCAAAGUCAGCCUCAGAGGAAGCGUUGGAUAAAGACAGACUGUCAUAGCAUCACCCUGCAGGGUCCCACGGUGACCACGGAAUCAUGAACAAAUAAUACAAUGAGGUGGCUUGAAGCCAGUAACUGUGGGCAUCUGACUUCACAGCAAGAGAUAAGCAUUACAGAGUGGCAGCUGGGACAGUCGGAGCACAGUGGCUUCCUUGUAAUGAUGGAGCCCAGAGCAAAAAGCAGGAGCAAGACAUCUGAGCUGAGGCAGCAGGGCGGCUCGGAUCUUUUCCUGCCAGUUUUCCACUGUUUCACAACACUGACGUGUGUCACUUCACAGCAAAAACAAUCUGUACCCUUCUGAAUGAGGCACUACCCCGGAAUCUCUUCCAGACCUCAUCAGCCCUCAAACCACGGUCUGUGAGCAGCCGAGGGAGAUCCCAUACACAGGCCUGCAAGAAAUCCUGGAUCACAGGGGUCAGCUCUCAGCUGGGAUUAGUGCUCCAUAAAUGACCCUGAUGGUAUCUGCUAGCCUCUCCAUUAUGAGGACAUAGCUUACAAGCUUCGUAUCAAACAUGACAUCUCUUUGUCCCUCCCUCACUCACCAAGAAGUCUACCACACCUGUGAGUACAUGGGAAGCACACAUUGAACUUGGUGGGCUAUAAGAGGCUGGGAAAAGGCUGGGGUGGAUCUGGAGGAGUUAGGGGAAUAGUGUAAAUGAAAAUGAUCAAAGUGCAUCACAUGUGUGUAUGAAAUUUUCAAAGGAUUAGCCAAAAUGUUAUAUUAAAUAAAAGAGCUCUACCACUAAGCUGUAUUCCACCUACAAACACCGAACAUUCUGAUGUCUUUUUCUGGCACCUCUGAGCCUCCAGAAAAGGGAGGACUAAAUCACUGCUUUUCAUAACUCAACUAAGCUGUGUGUGAGAGAGGGGUACACGUGUGUCAAGCUAUGGUUGUGAAGGGCUACACAGGCCAAGGUAUGGGCAUGGAGGUGUGUGUGGGAGGAGGGCUACACAUGUACCAGGGUAUGGUGAUGGGGGAUGUUCUUCUGUAUGCUGUGAAUAUACAAUAUACGUUUCUCUUAUUGGUUGUUGAAUAAAGCUGUUUUGGCCGAUGUACUGGCGGGAUGUAGUCAGGCAGGAAGAAUAGGCAGGGCUACCAGACUAGAAUUCUGAGAAGAGGAACAGAGUGAGUGAGUUGUGGGAGAGAUGCCAUGUAGCUGCCCAGAAAGAAAGAGGUCUGGACAUCACCAGUAAGCCAAGACCACAUGGAGAUACACAGAUUAAUAGAAAUGGGUUAAAAAUUAAGAGAGAGCUAGCCAAUAAGAAGCCUAAGCUAUAGGCCAAACAGUUUAUAAUUAAUAUAAGCCUCUGUGUAUAUAUUGGAGAUUAAACAGCUGCAGGGCUGGUCUACAUAUGGAUGAGGAGGUAUGGGGAGUACACAUGUACCAGGAGUACGGUUAUGCAGGCAUGGGGGGAGGGGUAACACAUGUGCCAGGGUAUGGAUGUGGAGGUCAGAGGACAAUUUAAAGACUUCGUUCUCUGCUUGCACUAUGUGGGUUCCAGGGAUUGAACACAGGUUAUCAGGAUUGGUGACAAGUGUCUAUACCUCCUUAGCUAUCUCACUGGUCCCCAGUUUGCUUCCAGAGAUGUCAUGUCCUUUUUCUUAGGCAGCAACUCGUGACAGUCAUCCCAUGAUAGCAAGGUUCCCUCUAAGACUCAUCAUCUCUUGCCUUGGACCACCACUGGCAACAUCAUGAGGCCAGGAAACACCUCUCUGCCUCUCAGGCUAGUCACAAGCUAAUCUCAGCUAAACAACAAAGCUUACCAAAGAAUUGAAUUAGUUAUUUCCAUAAAAGUGGAUCCUCUUUUAUACAUGACCCAUCAUUAAUAGUUCAAAAUCCUCAGACUCUAGCUAAGCCAAAUGUCCUGAAUCCCAUGUAUUCUGGGGACAGAAUUAUAUUUCACUGUAGGGACAUUUUCCUUGACCUUCUGUUGCCAAAUACUUUACUCCAGAGUUUUCUGCUCCUUCCCUUCUUGUCCCUCUUUCCUCAUUCAUCUUACCUAAAACACACACAGGCACACACACACACACACACACACACACAGAGAGAGAGAGAGAGAGAGAGAGAGAGAGAGAGAGAGAGAGAGAGAGAAAGAGAGAGAGAGAGAUUCUGAUUAAGGCUAUUCUUGUUGCCAUGUAAGACUUGCUGGCCAAAUUGUGGUGAAAUUUAACAAUGUGGUGAGAACAAGAAAUUGUGGCGUCGGGGAUAAGUAGUGUCCUGGUGAUGCCAGGGGCUACUCGUCGAGCUGACCGUGUGCUGAAAAUGGCAGACACUUCUUAAAAUGGCCCUUGGAAGAGCCAAUGGGAAUCCCAAGUAAAUGUCAGCCUUCUUGCUGACAGACAGGGAGGGGGAGUUGGGGAAGAGGGACUUCUAUUUUCCCAGUCAGGGUGAAUUUCCUCCAUUGUGAUAAGUGACCUCUUCUAUUUCCUAGCAAACUAGAUUAUAACCCUCCAAAAUGAAACACCUCGCCACUAAUACCUUCAUGAAAUGGGGUGGACAGCUGUUGUAUUUGCCUGUCUAGGCUGUAUCACUCUCUAGUCUGAUAACAGUCCGCUGGGAUCAUGGUGGGGGACAGCUCACUCCAUACUGGUGUCUAGGGCAGGCUCAAGACUCAAGCUGUGUCACCCCAGAAAGGAACACACUUGCCAAAAAAACUUUCUAAAAUGAAACUCAUUCACAUGCCUUGAUUCCAACCUCAGUAACCUGAAGAGGAUCCAGGCUGAACCUAGGCUCUCAUAGCUGCUCACACACCUGUACUGAGACCGGACUCUUAUGCCAUCAUUUUUAUUCUGGGAGCCAGUCCUAGACUUUUCUUUCUCUUUCCUUUUGAAAUCUUACAAUAUGGGUCUCUUGUGUCUUGUGUCUUCAGUCAAAUACCUCAAAGACCCAGUGGAAGAAGAGAUGGACCUGGGAUAUCACGAGAGGAAAUGUUGUAACCAUGCUCAUUCAUUAUUUGCUCUAUUGGGGAGUCUGUGGUGUUUCCCAAAAGUAUAUGUGCUAAAAAGGCAUAGUCCCAGCUUGGUUUUAUUGACAAAUGGCAGAACCUUUAGGAUAUUAGACCCAGGGAGAGGUCACUGGGGAUGCAUCUCUGCAGGGGACAGUGAGACUCUUGCCAUUCUUUGCUCCUUCUUUGCCUUUUCUACCUCAUCUGUACCAUAUGUUCAUACCACAAGAGUCUGUGCUGCCACUGGCCCAAAGCAGUGGGAUCAAGCAACUAUGAACCCUCUAAGUCUGCGAACCCAAAUAAAUGUGUCUUCUCAUAAGUAGAUUUAUUUCUAGUAUUUAUUGUGAUAGCAAAGAUUUGACAAAAACAAACAUGUACAGCAGGAAAGCCUGAUUCUCUCAUUUCUUGUUCAUGUUCAUUUCACCAUGAAGUCACAAAUUUCACGGCAACCCUCCUUCCCCCUACCAUAGCCAUCAUUUCUUUACUGAAUACAUUUUGAACACCUGCUGUAUGUCAGACUGUGAUUGUAAUGGCAAAAAUUCUGUUUUUGGUGAGGCUUGCAUUCCAAAAGGAAAAAGAGACAUUACUGAAGCAAACAAGUAGAUUAGCAAAGCAGCUGGACACAACAGUAUGAAAUAGGAGAAUGGCACAGAGUAACCACAGCCUUGUGGUUAGGGGAAACCUGCCUGAAGAGCAGACUUUCAAGACAUAGAUCAUUUUGGGGGAAGCAACCAUGUGAAACUAUGUGGGAAGGAAUGUUAUCUAGGCAAACAAAACAGCAAGGGAAAAGCCCCGACGUGGGGACAAGCAUGAUGUAUCACAACACAUGUGAGAGAAAGAUACAAAAUGGCCAAGGACAUUUGCAGGGGCCAAGUCAUGCUUGGGCUUCUAGACUUCACUAAGCUAAGAAGUUUGGAUUCAUCUUCAUUACUGCUGCAGUAAAAUGUGCCCUGUUCUGGUUUGGAACAAGCGGAAGCAUACGUGAAUUUCUGUCUUACACUGAAAGUUCCCUGUGACUCUAGUUUAAUGAUUUGCGACUGUUGCUGCUGCAACACUAACUGAGAAAUUUCCUAAGUGGAUGCAGACAAACUAAACUAAGGAGGAUCCAGUGUGCAUUGGAGACCCAGAGCUGUACCGGGGAUAGCUUUCCUCAGGGUGUGCUUCUGCAGCUCUUCUCAUGAUGGCUCCAUCAAGAAAGGGCUUCAUAGUUAGGUGGGCUACACACCUCAUCCAAUGAGUGAGCGUCUGAAUCCCAAGCCAAAGACCUAGACAGCAACAACAAAUAGAAAACUGUUGGUCUUAUUUGCUUGCCUCUAUAUUUCCCAAAGUUGAUUACCUUUGGAGCUCAGUUUCAUGAGAAACGUAUCAAUUUCUUAUGGACCAGUCUUGAAACACUGCUUAAAUAAUUUACACAACCUAUCUUCUCUUCUAUAAAUAAUUUAAUCAUUAACUAUAGCCAGACUCCUACAGCAUCCCACAGAGAAAGAGAACCUGGAUGGACAGCUCCAAACUCUUGGUUCCAGCUUAGGUCAGAUGAGGCCAUGGCUCUGCAUUUGAAUUCCUUAAACCACAACACAAAACUGAAUGUUACUACUCAUCAAAGCUCCUGACAGGACUGAGUAAAGGACAAGCAAAAGAUGUGAGGAUAAUGUAUUCAACAAUUUUUAAAGAUUAUAUAUUAAGAUUCUAUGUUCUAUAUAUGCCAUAGUCUAUAUGCACAGCAUAUAUACUAUUCCGUUAUCUAUUAUAUAUACUUAGGAUAUGUUACCCAGAAUCCUUUAAUGAUAUAUGUGUAUAUCUUAUAUAAAACAUACAGACACUUUCUUUUAUUAGUUGAGAUCUAGGUUACUGCAAUCCACCCUUACAUUUCAAUGCUUUAUGUAGCAAAUGGUCCAUUUCUCUCACAUACAUCCUCCAUUUCAGGUAUUGCUCUUCAGGUAAUUCUCUUGGGUGAUUUCCAGCUAGAUAGAAACUCAGGGAUCCAGGUUUUCCUAACAGGGAAAAGAAGAAUGUAUGGAGGACUCCACAAAAUUAUUUAAUACUGCAAGUACGCUCUCAUUUUAUGGGUUAGAGCAGCUAUGGAACUCCUUCUCAAGGCAAGGCGCCUUGGGAAAAUGGUAUUUCUCAGUCCCACAAAGAAAUGGAGUCCGUAAACACAUAAUACAUAAGCACACAGUAUUGUCUUAGAGACAGAUAAAACUCCCAAAUAGUCUAUGAGCCUCUCUGAGACGUGGUGCUUGGUAGGUGCAAAUGCUCACAAGGAAGCAGUUGGUAUGGGUUUGUUUUCUUCUCUGACCACAUCCUUUGUUAACAUUUAGGACAAAGACCUUCUAAAGUCACGUGAACGAUUUCAGAGAAAACUGGAAAACACUCUCAUGGAAAUGCAGUCUGGAGAGAGACAGAGAGAGAGAGAGAGAGAGAGAGAGAGAGAGAGAGAGAGAGAGAGAGAGAGAGAGAGAGAGAGAGACAGAGAGAGAGACAGAGAGAGAGACAGAGAGACAGAGAGAGACAGAGAGAGAGAGAAUAAGACCCUACACAAACACAGCUAAGCACCAACCAUAGACUCUGCCAACUAUUCCAAACUAAUUGCUGCUGUGCACAGGCAACAUAAAUCUAUUUUCAAUUGUAGAUGGGGUUUCUUUCCUGCCUGGUCCCGCUGCCAUUUAAACAAGCAGGAAAGAAACCCUGUCCACAGGCAGUGGGAAAGGCUGAAAGGGUGACAUGGGUUGGAUAUGUGAACUAAUUGGAGCCAGAAGGAAAAUAUUGGGGAGCAGAAAUCUUUAUACAGUAUUUUUCAUCAGACUGUAAUCUUCCUAGCUACAAAAUUACAUAUAUAGGAAAGGCAGAAAAACACAAAACAAAGUGAAAACCACUAUUAAUCCCAGUUCCCAUCCACUCUACACAAAAUCCUCACUGUUUAAAUGAUUAUUAUCUACUGUUCUUAUAGAUGAACUCAACUUUUCAUAGCAUAUAUUUCCCUCUAAAUACCACACUCACUCUGCAGGUUUUGUGGCUCAUUUUUAUAAAGCUCACAAUAUCGUCUGGAUGUUUCAUAAUAUUAUUAUGGAUGGCUACAUAGUCAACAAUGGUUGAGCAUGACUGUUUCUAGCUUUUUUUUCUCAUGAAAAAAAUUGGCAUAUUGAGCAUCUCUCUGUGCCCAUUUUCUACAGAUAUCUGAUCAUUUGUAUUCUAAGAGAUUUGUGAUAAUGUUGACUAACACUUAAUGAAGUUUAUAGUGUGCUUAAUUUUGAAGUAAGUUUCUUACUUUCUGCAUCUAAGUCAGUCUUUCAAACAAGUGUCUGCUGGUCAUAUUAACAGUGUAUCCAUGCUCUACGUAAGGAAACAAUGUCUGAGAAAAGGUAAAUCCUUUGCCUGUUAUGAUACAGCUACUUAAUGGAAGAAACCGGAUUUGAACCCAGAGUGACUGACUUCAGCAUCCAAGAUCCUCCAUUUCCUACUCUACCCUGGAGAGCACUUAAAUUCUCACUAGCAGAUUAACCUUCAUGGAGAGUUGACAGAGUAAUGGAUAUGGCUUGAGAAGGGGUAUGUAUAAUCAAGAGGAACUGCUUAUAUGAUGGCUAAGAGAAGAAGAGAAGGUAAAGUUUUAUGAGGGACAGUAACUUUUGCCGGUUGAAGUAAAAACAAAAAACUAUGAGUUAAUAUAUCCAGAGAGGCAAAGUCAUUUCAAAGGACAAUCUCCAAGCCAAAGUUCAGGACUGUUUAAAAAUUAUUGAAAGGGACAAUGGGAGUGCCUGUCCAGUUGAACAAAGAGGAGCGAUGUCAAAACAGUACUUGAUAAAGACAUACUCUGAGUCGGUCUUUGAUUUAAGAAAGUGGCCUUUGGCUUGUGGAAUGAGAUAAAAUCCAAGUUUCUGAGGCCUUUUAGGAGACCCUUUGUCAUAAUUUUCCUCCAGUCUGACAACUUCUCUGUGGGGAUGCACUUUCUUCACAGUAGCUGGAGAAUCUGAAGGGAGCCAGAAGCCAGGGCCUUAGAUCCUGUUUUCACUUCCAGCCUCCACUCACAACCACUUCCCAGAAGGCCUUGCAAGUCCCUGAUGGAAUCAGGGAGGGAAGAUUGAUGGCAAGAGGCAGAAAAGUCAACUAUAGAAAUGUUAGGACAGGGUGGAAGAUGAGAAUUAUGAGUUUAUAUUCUGUGUUCAGACGACCUAGGUUCAAAUGCAGGUGACUGUUGACUAACAACAUGACUAGGGCGAGAUGACUAUCCUCACUGUACCUCAGUUUCCUUAAUUGUAAAAUAUGAUAGUAAUAAUAAUACCUACUCUGCAGAUCACUGUGAAGAUCAAAUGAGGAGAUCAAAGUCACAGAUGCGGGCUACCAUCCCCACAAGUUUUUAUCUGGCAUCCCCUUUCAUCGUGAUGAAAAACACCCUUACCAAAGGACCCAUGGAUCAUGGAAGCUGCAGAAGUACUUCUCAAAACAAACCUUUCCCUUCACAAACUGACAAUUGGGUAUUUUUUUAUAGUGACAAGAAGCUGACUAUCAUGCACAGGUAAUGGAUUCCCACAGCCAGCAGACUCCAGAUGCCGUGACCUACAUGACACUGACUGAAUUGGGGUGUCUUACAAGCCUAGAACUUGCUUGAAACUCCAAACCAGUCAUUCCAGACAUGCUCUCAAAGCUGACUGUGCCCCGAAUAGGAUUUGCACUGAAACAGUGAUACAUACUGGAUUGACCUCACUGUCUGGCAUUCACCAUGAAGGAAAGAAUUCU
ensembl:lncRNA